rnacentral:rRNA from 1 species
UACUAUAGCUUGACACUGAACAUUGAGCCUUGAUGUGUAGGAUAGGUGGGAGGCUUUGAAGUGUGGACGCCAGUCUGCAUGGAGCCGACCUUGAAAUACCACCCUUUAAUGUUUGAUGUUCUAACGUGGACCCGUAAUCCGGGUUGCGGACAGUGUCUGGUGGGUAGUUUGACUGGGGCGGUCUCCUCCUAAAGAGUAACGGAGGAGCACGAAGGUUGGCUAAUCCUGGUCGGACAUCAGGAGGUUAGUGCAAUG